UACGAAGGGGGCUAGCGUUGCUCGGAAUCACUGGGCGUAAAGGGUGCGUAGGCGGGUCUUAAGUCAGGGGUGAAAUCCUGGAGCUCAACUCCAGAACUGCCCUUGAUACUGAGGAGCUCGAGUCCGGAAGAGGUGAGUGGAACUGCGAGUGUAGAGGUGAAAUUCGUAGAUAUUCGCAAGAACACCAGUGGCGAAGGCGGCUCACUGGUCCGGUACUGACGCUGAGGUGCGAAAGCGUGGGGAGCAAACAGG
rnacentral:rRNA from 1 species